rnacentral:rRNA from 1 species
UACGAAGGGGGCUAGCGUUGCUCGGAAUUACUGGGCGUAAAGGGCGCGUAGGCGGAUAGUUUAGUCAGAGGUAAAAGCCCAGGGCUCAACCUUGGAACUGCCUUUGAUACUGGCUAUCUUGAGUUCGGGAGAGGUGAGUGGAAUGCCGAGUGUAGAGGUGAAAUUCGUAGAUAUUCGGCGGAACACCAGUGGCGAAGGCGGCUCACUGGCCCGAUACUGACGCUGAGGCACGAAAGCGUGGGAGCAAACAGGG